CAACCCUCAGGCCCGCCUCGGCGGUCGCCUGGUGUUGGGGGCUUCCCCCCGCGGCGCUCCGCCGCGGGGCCCCCGAAAGCCAUCGGCGGUGCCUGCCAGCACUCCGGGCGCAGUAGACUUACGCCUCGCCCUGGACGUCUGGCGGCCGCUCCUGCCGCUAAACGAAGCCGCCCCUCCGGGCGGCAGACGAACU
rnacentral:misc_RNA from 1 species